ACUGGAUUUCAUGAUGUCUUCAAGAGCUGAGGAAUGUGAAGCUCUGAUCUUUAACAGCUGGGAGAAAGAAAGCAGAAGGCUUUCCUGUUGAUUUGACUGAGUCACCUGUCAUACUCCUCUCACCUAUGAACAGACUGCCUAUGCAGGGGCACAGACUGC